CAGAGGUCCCCACAAACACAGAAACCUUCAGAGGUCCCCACAAACACAGAAACCUUCAGAGGUCCCCACAAACACUAAAACACUCAGAGGUCCCCACAAACACAGAAACCUUCAGAGGUCCCCA